rnacentral:rRNA from 1 species
AUGUAUAUAGUGAUCCAGUAUGCAAUUAGCUAUAACAAGACCUGCUCUCAUGUAUUUGUUGUCCAGGCAUAUGUCGCUUCCAAGCCCGUCUCGGCCCGAUCCCACAGUACUUCUUCCCUUCAUUGUGCCAUCUGCUCUAGGGGAACCGAGGCACUUUGCCGCCGCCGGCUGCACGCUCGACUGGUGAUCGUGUCUUUUGUCAAAGGCCUGAAUGGUUCGGUGGGAAAAUUGGACCUAACCAAGCUUGAUGUUACCAAGCUACACCCGUUGUCACCUGAAGUUAUCUCACGCCAAGCGAGGAUCAAUACCGGUACUGAUUCCAUCCUUCUGAUGUGGUUCAGUAACUAA